rnacentral:rRNA from 1 species
GUAGUUGAACCUGCGGAAGGAUCAUUGUCGAAUCCUGCACAGCAGAACAACCCGAGAACCGGUUCACAACCACUUGGGAGACAUGGGCAAGCCCCUUGCGCUCCCAAACACCGCGGUGGUGGAUUCCCUCGUGGGAUCCACGGUCUCGGGCAACAACGAACCCCGGCACGGAACGUGCCAAGGAACAUGAAUAAGAGAAGCGCCGUCCCAAGGCCCCCGCCCGCGGGGUGUCUCGGGAUCUCCCGCGCCAUCUUUUCUAUCAAUAUCGAAACGACUCUCGGCAUCGGAUAUCUCGGCUCUCGCAUCGAUGAAGAACGUAGCGAAAUGCGAUACUUGGUGUGAAUUGCAGAAUCCCGUGAACCAUCGAGUCUUUGAACGCAAGUUGCGCCCUAAGCCAUUCGGCCGAGGGCACGUCUGCCUGGGCGUCAAUCAUCAAUUCGUCCCCCAACCCCCGCUCCCCCACAAAAGGGAGUGCGUGCGGAGGUUGGGUACGGAACUUGGCCUCCCGUGCUCCCGAAGCGCGGCUGGCCCAAAUGCGAGCAUCGGACUGAUGAUCUCCGAGGCACGCGGUGGUUGUUUAUUCUUACCUCGUGACGUUGCCCGGAGCAUCUCCCGAACGGAGCUCAUCGACCCUAGAU